CACCCGUGUCUAUCGUACCUUGUUGCUUCGGCGGGCCCGCCGUUUCGACGGCCGCCGGGGAGGCCUUGCGCCCCCGGGCCCGCGCCCGCCGAAGACCCCAACAUGAACGCUGUUCUGAAAGUAUGCAGUCUGAGUUGAUUAUCGUAAUCAGUUAAAACUUUCAACAACGGAUCUCUUGGUUCCGGCAUCGAUGAAGAACGCAGCGAAAUGCGAUAAGUAAUGUGAAUUGCAGAAUUCAGUGAAUCAUCGAGUCUUUGAACGCACAUUGCGCCCCCUGGUAUUCCGGGGGGCAUGCCUGUCCGAGCGUCAUUGCUGCCCUCAAGCACGGCUUGUGUGUUGGGCCCCCGUCCCCCUCUCCCGGGGGACGGGCCCGAAAGGCAGCGGCGGCACCGCGUCCGGUCCUCGAGCGUAUGGGGCUUUGUCACCUGCUCUGUAGGCCCGGCCGGCGCCAGCCGACACCCAACUUUAUUUUUCUAAGGUUGACCUCGGAUCAGGUAGGGAUACCCGCUGAACUUAAGCAUA
rnacentral:rRNA from 1 species